rnacentral:tRNA from 1 species
UGGGUCGAUGCCCGAGCGGUUAAUGGGGACGGACUGUAAAUUCGUUGACGAUAUGUCUACGCUGGUUCAAAUCCAGCUCGUCCCAG